GGGGUUAUAGCUCAGUUGGUUAGAGCGCUUCGUUCACAUCGAAGAGGUCCACGGUUCGAACCCGCGUAACCCCACCA
rnacentral:tRNA from 1 species